rnacentral:rRNA from 1 species
UACGUAGGGGGCAAGCGUUGUCCGGAAUCAUUGGGCGUAAAGCGCGUGUAGGCGGCUUGGUAAGUCUGCUCUGAAAUCCCUGGGCUCAACCCAGGAACUGCGUCCAAGACUGGGAGGCUUGAAUCCGGGAGAGGGAUGCGGAAUUCCAGGUGUAGCGGUGAAAUGCGUAGAUAUCUGGAGGAACACCGGUGGCGAAGGCGGCAUCCUGGACCGGUAUUGACACUGAGGCGCGAAAGCCAGGGGAGCAAACGGG